GACGAACGCUGGCGGCGUGCUUAACACAUGCAAGUCGAACGGAAAGGCCCUGCUUUUGUGGGGUGCUCGAGUGGCGAACGGGUGAGUAACACGUGAGUAACCUGCCCUUGACUUUGGGAUAACUUCAGGAAACUGGGGCUAAUACCGGAUAGGAGCUCCUGCUGCAUGGUGGGGGUUGGAAAGUUUCGGCGGUUGGAGAUGGACUCGCGGCUUAUCAGCUUGUUGGUGGGGUAGUGGCUUACCAAGGCUUUGACGGGUAGCCGGCCUGAGAGGGUGACCGGCCAAAUUGGAACGGAGGUACGGCCCAGACUCCUACGGGAGGCAGCAGUGGGGAAUAGUGCACAAUGGGCGGAAGCCUGAUGCAGCAACGCCGCGUGCGGGAUGACGGCCUUCGGGUUGUAAACCGCUUUCGCCUGUGACGAAGCGUGAGUGACGGUAAUGGGUAAAGAAGCACCGGCUAACUACGUG
rnacentral:rRNA from 1 species